rnacentral:lncRNA from 1 species
CACAUUCAGAGGGCAUUGCCUCAUUAACGAAAAAAAACUAGUCUUAGACUAGAGGCUGUUCUGGCCUUGAAUAACAAAGCUUAAAAAGUAAGCUCAAAUUUGCAUGAAAAUGCAAAGGAUCUGUGCUAGCUAAAACAACAUUGAAAAAGAAUAUCAGAGAACAUAUACCAUCUGAUUUCAAGAUGUAGUGUAAGGUAACAGAUGUGAAUGAGAAAUUUACCAGAGAGAUAGAUAUUAUUAAAAAGAACCAAACACAAAUUCUGGAACUAAUGAAAUCAUUAAACAAAAUGUAAAAUACAUUGGAAAGCUUCAACAAUAGACUAGAUUAAUCAGAAUAAAAACAUUUCAGAACUUGAAGACAGAUCUUUUGAAAUAACCCAGUCAGGCAAAACUAAAGAAAAAAAACGAAUUAAAAAGAAUGAACAAAGCUUAUGUGGUAUAUGUGACACCAUAACGUGAAAAAAUAUUUGAAUUUUUGAUGUCCCAAAAGGUGAAGAAAAAACAAAAGGGAUAGAAAACCUAUUUAACAAAGUAAUGAUGAAAACUCUCCAAGUCUAGCAAGAAAUUUAGACAUCCAGAUACAGGAGGCCCGGUGACCCCUAAAUAGAUACAAUGCAAAAAGGUCUUCUUCAUGACACAUUAUAGUCAAAUUGUCUAAAGUCAAUGACAAAGAGAAAAUUCUAAAAACAGCAAGAGAAAAGGGUCUAGUCACUAAUAAAGGAGCUUUCAUCAAACUAACAGCAGACUUCUCAGGAGAAACCUUACAGGUGAGGAAAGAAUGGGAUCACAUAGUCAAAGUGCUGAAAGAAAAACACUGCCACACAACAAUAUUGUAGCAGUACAAUUAUCCUUCACAAAUGAAGGACAAAUAAAAAUUUUCCCAGAUAAGCAAAUGCUGAGGGAAUUCACCACCACUAGUCCAGCCUUAUAAGAAAUGCUCAAGGGAGUCCUAAACCUGGAAGUGAAGGGUGACAUAUACCAUCUUGAAAACACAUAAAAAUAUAACAUUCACUGGUAAAGCAAGUACACAAAUGAGGAAGAGAAAAGACUCAAAUGGUACCACCACAGAAAAUCAGCAAACCACAAAGAUAAUCAAUAAGAGAAAAAGAAAGGAAUAAAAAUACACAAAACAACCAGACAACAAUUAACAAUAUGAUAGGAACAAAACCUCACAUAUCAACAAUAACCCUUAGUGUAAAUGGAUGAAAUUCUCCACUAAAAAGACAUAAACUGGCUGAAUGAUUUAAAAUACAUGAUCCAAGUGUAUGCUACCUACAAAAAACAUAGACUUUACCUAAACAGUCACAUAUAGACCAAAAGUAAAGGGAUAGAAACAUAUUUCAUGCAAACAGAAACCAAAAGUGAGGAGUAGCUUUACUUAUGUCUGAUAAAACAGGUUUAAGUCAAAAGAAUAGAAAAAGUUCAUGAUAAAGGAAACAAUCCAGCAAGAGAAUAUGACAAUCCUAAAUAUUUAUGUACCCGACACUAGAGCAUUCAGAUUCAUAAAGAAAAUAUUACUAGAUCUAAAGAAAGAGAUAGACUCUAAAACAAAAAUAGUGGAGGAGUUCAGCCCUCUACUAUUAGCAUUAGACAGAUGAGCUAGACAGAAAGUCAACAAAGAAAUAUUGAAUUGAAACUGCAUAUUAGACCAAAUGGAUAUAACAGAUAUUUACAGAACAUUUCAUCCACCAGCUACAGAGUACACAUUCUUCUCAUUAGCACACGGAACAUUCUCAAAGAUGAACCAUGUGUUAAGACACAAAACAAAUCUCAACAAAUUUUUAAAAAUCAAAAUCAUAUCAAGUAUUGUCUCAGACUAUAGUGACCUAGAAAUCAAUAUUAAGAGGAAAUUUGGAGACUGUACAAAUACAUAGAAAUUAAACAACAUGCUCCUGAAUAACCCCUUUUUCAAGGAGGAAUAAAGAAGAAAGUCAAAUAAUUUCUUGAAACAAAUGACAAUUGAAACACAACAUACCAAAACCUAUGGGAUACUGCAAAAGCAGUGUUGAGAAGGAAGCUUAUAGCAAUAAACAUGUACAU